ACUGGGCAUGGUGGUACAUGCCUGUAAUCCCACUGGCUUGGGAGGCUGAGACAGGAGGAUUGUGAGUUCAAAGCCAGUAUCAACAAAAGUGAGGUGCUAAGCAACUCAGUGAGACCCUGUCUCUA
rnacentral:sRNA from 1 species